CCCGUAACUUCGGGAGAAGGGGUGCUUUCUUAACGGAAAGCCGCAGUGAAUAGGCCCAAGCGACUGUUUAGCAAAAACACAGCUCUCUGCGAAGCCGUAAGGCGAAGUAUAGGGGGUGACACCUGCCCGGUGCUGGAAGGUUAAGGAGAGGGGUUAGCGUAAGCGAAGCUCUGAACUGAAGCCCCAGUAAACGGCGGCCGUAACUAUAACGGUCCUAAGGUAGCGAAAUUCCUUGUCGGGUAAGUUCCGACCCGCACGAAAGGUGUAACGAUUUGGGCACUGUCUCAACCAGAGACUCGGUGAAAUUAUAGUACCUGUGAAGAUGCAGGUUACCCGCGACAGGACGGAAAGACCCCGUGGAGCUUUACUGUAGCCUGAUAUUGAAUUUUGGUACAGUUUGUACAGGAUAGGCGGGAGCCUUUGAAACCGGAGCGCUAGCUUCGGUGGAGGCGCUGGUGGGAUACCGCCCUGACUGUAUUGAAAUUCUAACCUACGGGUCUUAUCGACCCGGGAGACAGUGUCAGGUGGGCAGUUUGACUGGGGCGGUCGCCUCCUAAAGUGUAACGGAGGCGCCCAAAGGUUCCCUCAGAAUGGUUGGAAAUCAUUCGUAGAGUGCAAAGGCAUAAGGGAGCUUGACUGCGAGACCUACAAGUCGAGCAGGGACGAAAGUCGGGCUUAGUGAUCCGGUGGUUCCGCAUGGAAGGGCCAUCGCUCAACGGAUAAAAGCUACCCCGGGGAUAACAGGCUUAUCUCCCCCAAGAGUCCACAUCGACGGGGAGGUUUGGCACCUCGAUGUCGGCUCAUCGCAUCCUGGGGCUGUAGUCGGUCCCAAGGGUUGGGCUGUUCGCCCAUUAAAGCGGUACGCGAGCUGGGUUCAGAACGUCGUGAGACAGUUCGGUCCCUAUCCGUCGUGGGCGUAGGAAAUUUGAGAGGAGCUGUCCUUAGUACGAGAGGACCGGGAUGGACGCACCGCUGGUGUACCAGUUGUUCUGCCAAGGGCAUAGCUGGGUAGCUAUGUGCGGAAGGGAUAAGUGCUGAAAGCAUCUAAGCAUGAAGCCCCCCUCAAGAUGAGAUUUCCCAUAGCGUAAGCUAGUAAGAUCCCUGAAAGAUGAUCAGGUUGAUAGGUUCGAGGUGGAAGCAUGGUGACAUGUGGAGCUGACGAAUACUAAUAGAUCGAGGACUUAACCAU
rnacentral:rRNA from 1 species